ensembl:misc_RNA Metazoa_SRP Metazoan signal recognition particle RNA
GCCGGGCGCGGUGGCACACGCCUGUAGUCCCAGCUACUUGGGAGGCUGAGACAGGAGGAUCGCUUGAGUCCAGGAGUUCUGGGCUGUAGUGUGCUAUGCCGAUCAGGUGUCCGCACUAAGUUCGGCAUCAAUAUGGUGACCUCCCGGGAGCGGGGGACCACCAGGUUGCCUAAGGAGGGGUAAACCGGCCCAAGUCGGAAAAGAGGGAGAAACCAGUAAAUCCUCAAAAUGUAUUUACUCAAUCCCUUUUAAGAAGCACAUGACCAUCUUUUGUCCCAGCAGUCACU